GCACCGGUGGUUCAGUGGUAGAAUGCUCGCCUGCCACGCUGGCGGCCCGGGUUCGAUUCCUGGCCGAUGCA
rnacentral:tRNA from 1 species